AUUUAUAUAGUAUAAAAAUUAUAUUUAACUUCCAAUUAAAAGAUCUAAUUAUAUUAGUAUAAAUA
rnacentral:tRNA from 1 species